rnacentral:rRNA from 1 species
UACGUAGGGGGCAAGCGUUGUCCGGAUUUAUUGGGCGUAAAGAGCGUGUAGGCGGCCAUACAGGUCAGCUGUGAAAACUCGAGGCUCAACCUCGAGACGCCGAUGGAAACCAUCUGACUAGAGUCCGGAAGAGGAGAGUGGAAUUCCUGGUGUAGCGGUGAAAUGCGCAGAUAUCAGGAAGAACACCCGUGGCUAAGGCGGCUCUCUAGUACGUGACUGACGCUGAGACGCGAAAGCGUGGGGAGCGAACAGG